GUCAGAAGGAAAUGUCUGGGCUGUGAGCAGCUGAAGGUCAUGUCACUGCGGUGGAACAAAUUUAGCGAGGAGAUCUCAGGAAAUGGGAAAAUAAUGAUUCCCUUCAGCGUGGCACUUUGGGGACAGCUGAUGCCAGGAAGCUGCAGCUGAGGGACACCUCUCAAAAGCUGGUGCCUGUCCCCAGGGACGGCCUUGCUGCUCUUUUGAGCUCCUUGGAGCUGGUGCCAAAAUCGGGACGUGGAGCUUGAGCUGAUUCCUUCAGCACUGCAGAGAGAGAUCCCAGG